rnacentral:lncRNA from 1 species
ACCGCGCUCCGGCGCCCGGCGGGGUGCAGCGGUUCGGCGGCCUCCCGGCCCCUACCGCCGCCUGCAGGCACUGCCCGCGGCGCGGCACCGCCCUGCCCGGCUUUGGUUCGGGCUGCCGCGGCGGGAGGGAGGGCCGAGUCAGUCGUCCUACAGUUUGAUGUGCCAAAUCUUUAAUUAAACAAAACAGAGCAAAACACAACGCGAUGCAAGAGACCCUUCCGGUUACGGAACUGCAGUUGCAAAGGGCAGGCGGCGGGACGGGGCUCGCACAGAUCCGGGAGCGCUGCGGGCACAGGGGAUGACGCUGGGGCAAACUGAGUUAUCGCCGUGCGCCGCACGGAGGAGCGCAGCUCCUUACUGAAUCAGACGGCGCCGAGCCGCCCGCCCGACACGCGCCCAGCACAGCCGCAGCCCGCUGCCCGCUGCCCGCUGCCCGCUGCCCGCUGCCCGCUGCCCGCUGCCCGCUGCCCGCUGCCGGCAGCCCCUCGCGCACCGCACGCUGGGGCGCGGAGCUUUCCUGCCCGGCUGCAGACCAACCAAUAGCGACUUGGCCCCGUGGGGGCGGGCUCAAAACGCAGCGCGCUUAUUGCCUGUCGGAAACGUCAAUCCCGCUUCCUCCUCCCCUCCCUCCCCCCGUUGCCAUCGCAACCGCACGCCGCGCAGGCUCAGUUGCUUCAAGAUCUGCGCGUGCGGAAUAAGUUACACUCACGUGCGGAGCGGAUGUGGCAGUUGCCAAAGCUUCAGCCCAGGCUCGCAGAAUGAAGCUGCAUUGAAGUACGUACAACCAUUCGUUGCAGGACAAACCUGAGAAGUGGUGGCAAGAGGAAGGUAGAUCACUGUGCAGCUCAGGUUUUAAAGUUCUCAUCAGGUGCCAGCCUCCCGCAGGGAGCACCUAGAG